rnacentral:rRNA from 1 species
GAUCAUGGCUCAGGAUGAACGCUAGCUACAGGCUUAACACAUGCAAGUCGAGGGGCAGCGGGAUUGAAGCUUGCUUUUGAUGGGCGUCGACCGGCGCACGGGUGAGUAACGCGUAUCCAACCUGCCCAUCACUUGGGAAUAACCUUGCGAAAGUAAGACUAAUGCCCAAUGAUAUCCCACGAAGGCAUCCGAAUGGGAUUAAAGAUUUAUCGGUGAUGGAUGGGGAUGCGU